rnacentral:rRNA from 1 species
AUUGAACGCUGGCGGCAUGCCUAACACAUGCAAGUCGAGCGGACGGAGGGAGCUCGUUCCUGGCUUCAGCGGCCGACGGGCGAGUAAGUCAUAGGAAUCUGCCCGGUCUUUGAGGAUAACGUCCGUACACGGGCGCUAAUACCGCAUACGUCCAGAUGGUGAAACUGAGGGUUCUUUGGACCUCGCGCUAUCUGCUGUCACUUGGUCGUAUUAGCUAGUUGGUGAGGUAAAGGCCUACCAAGGCGACGAUCCGUAGCUGAUCUGAGAGGAUGAUCGGUCACACUGGAACUGAGACACGGUCCAGACUCCUACGGGAGGCAGCAGUAGGGAAUAUUGCGCAAUGGGCGAAAGCCUGACGGAGCCAUGCCGCGUGUGUGAAGAAGGUCUUCGGAUUGUAAAACUCUGUUAGUAGGGAAGAAGAACAGUGAGAGAAUAUCUGCCUGUCUUGACGUUACCAACAGAGAAAGCACCGGCUAACUACGUG